UCGAAACGAUCCACGUCCAGCCGAUCAAUCAGUUGACCCCUUUCGAAUUCCGGACGCAAGGAUCUACAGCAGCAAUCACAAAUCACCUGUCGAUGUCGCCCGGAUGUCAGUGUAGAGCUGAGCGUGUAUUAACAGGUGCUUUUAAUUCGACCGAGCCAGAGACUUCCAGCUGCUGGAGUUCGAUAUUGGAUAACAAUGUAAAUUUGAGGGAUUAUCGAUAGAUACUGGUUGACAGUUUCAGUUGGUUAAACAGGGAAGAAUGACGUUCGUUAAAGCUCGGUGAUAGGAGGUAGAGAAGAGAAAAAGAAAUUUAGGGAUGGGAGGAAUGCGGCUGAGAGACGACUUCCGGUUGCGAGGUCAGCAGAGGAAUGGCGGGAAAACUGACUCGAGGAUCCCCGUCGAUGCACCGUCAACGUAACACCAUUUUGUUCGAUACUUUCUCGAGUCUACAUAUAUUCCCGAACAGUUCUUAUGUAAACACUUUUAAACUUUUAUAUUUUUGUGCCAAAAUAUUUCUUUUCUGUAAAACAUUUAAUAUCUGUAAUAAAUCCAGAACUUUGUUAUAUUCCGUGAAAAA